rnacentral:rRNA from 1 species
AGAAAGUGGAAGCAAUUCCAUGAGUAAAGUGGCGACCGGGUGAGUAACACGUGACUAACCUACCCUAGAGUGGGGAAUAACCUCGGGAAACCGGGGCUAAUACCGCAUAACAUCAUCGGGUGUAAAUUCCUGAUGAUCAAAGGAGUAAUUCGCUCAAGGAGGGGGUCGCGGCUGAUUAGUUAGUUGGUGAGGUAACGGCUCACCAAGACUUAGAUCAGUAGCCGGCCUGAGAGGGCGCACGGCCACACUGGAACUGAAACACGGUCCAGACUCCUACGGGAGGCAGCAGUGGGGAAUUUUGCGCAAUGGGGGAAACCCUGACGCAGCAACGCCGCGUGGAGGAUGAAGUCCCUUGGGAUGUAAACUCCUUUCGAUCGGGACGAUAAUGACGGUACCGGAAGAAGAAGCACCGGCUAACUCCGUGCCAGCAGCCGCGGUAAUACAGAGGGUGCAAGCGUUGUUCGGAAUUAUUGGGCGUAAAGGGCGCGUAGGCGGUGCUGUAAGUCUGUGGUGAAAUCUCUGGGCUCAACUCAGAGUCUGCCAUAGAAACUGCAGUGCUGGAGAGUGGGAGAGGUGAGUGGAAUUCCUGGUGUAGCGGUGAAAUGCGUAGAUAUCGGGAGGAACACCUGUGGCGAAAGCGGCUCACUGGACCACAACUGACGCUGAAGCGCGAAAGCUAGGGGAGCAAACAGGAUUAGAUACCCUGGUAGUCCUAGCC